GACUUAUACAAAAAGAAGUUCAUUUGGGAUUUGUUCAGACUGCAGUCCAGGAAAAAAACAAAUUCAAGUAGCCCUUGAACUGUGUUUCUGUUGCUAAAAGGGAGAAGGAAGGUUUUGUGGUUGUGGCUAAUAAGGGCAAAGAAAACAAAAGGAGGGAACAUCCUUUAACAAAUUCCAGGCACAAGGUAAUCAUCAGAGUGAGAGUUGGUUGAAACAGCCAUUACACUUAGGAAUGUGGUGGAUGACUCUGAUAGGAAUGAGGUCUCUGUCCUGAUAAUCUAAUCAUCCUUGAAAAUGAGUUCUCUGUCUCGAUAAUCUUAUCAUCCUUGAGAAGUCUUGCAGACAUCUUUUAGUCAUCUGAUGAGUUCAAGAGUUCUUUCUGAAGGAGAAAUUUGUUCCUCUCCUCUUCAUGUCUGUCUAGCUCCAUUUUAGUACCUUAACAUAAGAGACUCCACCUUUUUUCAAUUCCACAUUUGAUAUGUUAAAUUACAUGGGAAGCAUUGUCAAAUAAGAAGUAACAUUAAGCCAUCUUUAUAGUGUAUUUGCAUAGGUACAUAAGUGUUCUAGAAAUUAUGUGAAAUUCCUCAAAAUAUGAUAUGUCCUAUUAUAAUGGUAUCAGUCAUAAUUCUAGUUAUCUUAAAAUGUUGUAUGUCACAGAAGUAUCCAAAUUUCUCUGUCAAUUGCAUUAUAAUGAGUCAUUUUUAAGUCUUUUGUCAUUUAUAGUUACUCUGAUGUUUUUGCAAAAAUACUUCAUAGAAAGGAAACUCAUAAAGCUGAACUGGGUCUCUGUCAUCAAAAUUGAAGCUCACACUAAAAAGACUGAACCUAAAUAUCAGGAAAAUGCCCCAGCUGACUUUCAUGCAAAGGCAGCAACAACAGAAUCUAUAAAGGACACCAUCAGAAACAUUGGUCAUAUUACCAAGGCUUUGACUGGAAUAUCAUGUUUGAGAGAAACACAAACUCAGAUAUGACCAAACAGCUUUAAGGAACUAAAGUUGGCUCUAUGAAGCCAAUAAACCCUCUUGGAAAAAUAGUCUAGUACCUAAUUUACAUAGUUCCUGACAGCCUAACCAGACCUAACUUUGGGAGCUCAUCUGCAUCAUGACCUCCUGAAAUGAGACACAACUGUUUAACAGAAGUGACCUAUUUUCAAGACUAAAAGAUCAAUUCAAUGCAACUUUUAAUAUGCAAAACUUCCAGGGAAGUUUGAGAGAAGGGAACUGUUGGAGUCCAGGGCAGACCACUCCAAAAUAUCCCACAAUGGCAUAUGGUUUAUUUUGAGUUAAAGUUACUUGAGAAUCUGCUGAGGUGAAAAAAAGAAAAAAAAUUUUUGACGCUCCUCUCUCUGUUCCCCCUGAAAGCAGGAAAUAAAUCUCCCAUAUGAAAGGUGCUCCCCCUACAUCCUUAUCACCAGAGCUAGGGAAUUCAGGCCUGAGAAACCUGUAUAAACAAAUCAUGUUACUUUUAGAAACUUAAUACCUCAAGCCUAAAAUGUUUAAGCUCAUCUCUUAUUAUGUACCCUAAACCUAAUUUUCUUUGUCCCGUCAUUCCUCACAAAUUUAUUGUUCCUUUGUGUAAAAAGAUAUACAAACAGUCUGCUUUGCCCAUAUGGAGAGCAUCUUUUUAUGAUCUCCAAUACAUACAUAUUAAAUUGAUUUUUCUUCUGUUCAUCUGGUCUUGUGUCAAUUGUAUUAUUAGUCCAGCCAUAAGAACUCAAAAGAGUUAGAAGAGGGGAAAUUUCUCCUCCUCCCAAAAAUAUUUUAUGUCAGAAUUAAAUUUGUU
rnacentral:lncRNA from 1 species